ACAAGCUCUGCGACCCCAUAACAGAGAUAGAGGAACACCUUUUCGAGGCCUUUGGAAGCCGUUGUCCGGUUCUCACAGGCAGUUACAGGGUGAAAAUUGUGCUAGACGAGGCAUCCUCUCCUAGAGAUGCAGAACACGUACAAAACAUCAUCAUGCGACUGAAUUUCACAGACAAUGACAAGCCUGUGGGUUGCACGUCACUCGUUUUUGAUUCCGACACUAAUUCUGUUCAUUGACAACCACGGUGCAGCUACGCUUUUUGCCCACAAAAGGUGCGCGAUGUCUUUGUCGCUAGGCAAACGGCAUGCAGUCCCUACAAGGUAGCUUCGUGAAAGAACGUGCUUUUUUUCGUGCCGAAUUGCAUUACAACCCCGCUGUUCUU